rnacentral:rRNA from 1 species
UACGUAGGUGACAAGCGUUGUCCGGAUUUACUGGGCGUAAAGAGCGCGCAGGCGGUCGUUCAAGUCGAGUGUGAAAGCCCCCCGGCUCAACUGGGGAGGGUCAUUCGAUACUGAUCGACUCGAAGGCAGGAGAGGGUAGUGGAAUUCCCGGUGUAGCGGUGAAAUGCGUAGAGAUCGGGAGGAAUACCGGUGGCGAAAGCGACUCUCUGGACGGCAACUGACGCUGAGGCACGAAAGCGUGGGGAGCAAACAGG